rnacentral:rRNA from 1 species
AUGGCGACUAAGCUCGCAGCGCUCGUCGUCUUGGCCGCGUUCCUCGCCGGGCCGGCGGCGUGCGACGGCGCCAGCAUUUGCUUCAACGGCUGGCUGAGGCUGCCCACCUACAACGCGGCGCUCUGUCGCCCCAGGCCGGACGUUCAGACGCGGCAGAGGAGACCUGCUCCCUCGGGGUCAGGACUCAGCUCCGGCUAUUACAACACCAGGUGCCCUAGCGCGGAGAAGAUCGUCACGGAUGCCGUGAAGAAGGCCGUGGAUGCGAACCCUGGCAUUGGUGCCGGGCUCAUCCGUCUCUUCUUCCAUGACUGCUUCGUUCGGGGCUGCGAUGGUUCCGUCCUCCUCAACACGACCAACUCGAAGAACAGCGACACGGAGAGGGAAGGCCCUCCCAACCAGAACAGCCUCCGAGGGUUCGAGGUGAUUGACGAGGCCAAGGCGGCGAUCGAGGCUGCCUGCCCCGACACAGUCUCAUGUGCCGACAUCGUCGCCUAUGCUGCCCGCGACGCGUCCUACUUCCUCAGCGACCGCAAGAUCAACAUCCAGAUGCCGGGCGGCCGCUACGACGGCCGCGAGUCAUUCUCCAACGAGACAGACCAGCUGCCUGGGCCCUUCUCUAACCUCACGGCGCUUCAGGGGAGUUUCGCGGCCAAGGGACUCACCUCCGACGAGAUGGUCACGCUCUCCGGCGCGCACACCAUCGGCCGCGCCCGCUGCUUGUUCUUCUCCACCCGUUUCUCUGAGAUGGAACCGGCAUUUGCCGCCAAGCUUAGGGCCCAGUGCAACGGCAACGACGGCACCAACGUGAACCAAGAUGAUGUGACCCCCAACGUCCUGGAUAAGCAGUACUACCAGAACGUGGUCGACAAGAAAGUGUUGUUCACCUCAGAUGCCGUGCUCAACUCGACGAAAACGAUAACGCAGGUGACAGAAAACGCGAACAUGACCGGGGCGUGGGAGAGGAAGUUCGAGAAAGCCAUGGAGACUAUGGGGAAAAUCGGGGUCAAGACCAUAGGCAACCAGCAAGGCGCAGAGAUCAGGAAGGUAUGCUGGAGAGUCAACAACUAG